rnacentral:rRNA from 1 species
UAGGGAAUCUUCGGCAAAUGGACGGAAGUCUGACCGAGCAACGCCGCGUGAGUGAAGAAGGUUUUCGGAUCGUAAAGCUCUGUUGUAAGAGAAGAACGAGUGUGAGAGUGGAAAGUUCACACUGUGACGGUAUCUUACCAGAAAGGGACGGCUAACUACGUGCCAGCAGCCGCGGUAAUACGUAGGUCCCGAGCGUUGUCCGGAUUUAUUGGGCGUAAAGCGAGCGCAGGCGGUUAGAUAAGUCUGAAGUUAAAGGCUGUGGCUUAACCAUAGUACGCUUUGGAAACUGUUUAACUUGAGUGCAAGAGGGGAGAGUGGAAUUCCAUGUGUAGCGGUGAAAUGCGUAGAUAUAUGGAGGAACACCGGUGGCGAAAGCGGCUCUCUGGCUUGUAACUGACGCUGAGGCUCGAAAGCGUGGGGAGCAAACAGGAUUAGAUACCCUGGUAGUCCACGCCGUAAACGAUGAGUGCUAGGUGUUAGACCCUUUCCGGGGUUUAGUGCCGCAGCUAACGCAUUAAGCACUCCGCCUGGGGAGUACGACCGCAAGGUUG